UGAUGAAACUCUUCUGAAAAUACUUCAUCUGCCCUUAUUGGUAAUAUUGGAUGAAGCAUGUGUUGAGUUUUCUGGAAUGGAGUCUAAGAUGAUGUGGGUGAAGAAGCACGGGAAUCUGAUUGUUCUUCGUACGUUCAGCAAAAGAGCUGGUGGUGUCAUAAAUGGGUGUUUGGGCUUUAAGUAUAGUUGAGUGGUAUCCCUAUCAUCAGGUUUAGCUGGACUUAGAUUCGGAUAUGGAGCUUUUCCAGAGUAUUGUUGAAUUCCUUUUGGCGAGAAAAGCAACCAUAUAAUGCGUCUGUUGCUGCUGAAGUUGCUACAUAUGCUGCAUUACAGAAUCCCGCUUAUCUGGAGUAUGUGAAAGUGGCAUUGGUGCAACAAAGGAAGAGGCUAUUUAAUCUAUUGAAAGAAGUUCCUUUUCUUGAUCCAUACCCUAGCUAUUCUAAUUUCAUUCCCUGUAAGGUUGCAUCUGGAGUGGAUGCCAAGAAAUUGAAGGUAAAAGUACUUAUACCACUAAGUUCCAUUCCAGUAAAGUCAAUUUGUUGCUUCAUCUAUUCCAUUUUAUUCUUUUGUUUAAUUUGUCCUUCGUGUCUUUUCAUUCUGGGCUAAGCAUCAUUAUGGGAACUUUGAUACCAAGUUGAAAGAAUUAUUAGGGAACAUGACUAAAGUAAAAGCAUUUCUAACAGAUUACCUCAUUUCUAUUAUGUAUAUGGUAGUGUCAUGGAGCAAUAGAGUAAGUUGGAUUGACAGACUUCGAUGAUUACACUAAGCAAGAGACGAUUGAUCUCUGGUGAAGUAGUGAAUUAAUAUAGGAUUGAAUAUAUGAAUAUCACCUGCAGAAGAAUCUUUUAAAUAUAUGAAUGAAACUUAUCAUAUCAUCAUAAUCAUCAUGAUAAUCAUAAUCAUCUUAAUAAUAUAAUAAUAUAAUAUUUAUUAAAAGUGGGAAGCUCCCAAAUUAAAAGUUAGAUUACGAAAAUGCCCUUCUUUUAAAAAAGAUUUUUUUAUAUUAAAUAAUUUGCCUAAUAAAUAUCCCUAAUUAUCACUAU